rnacentral:rRNA from 1 species
UACGGGAGGGGCAAGCGUUGUUCGGAAUUACUGGGCGUAAAGGGCUCGUAGGCGGCCAACUAAGUCAUAUGUGAAAUCUUCGAGCUCAACUCGGAAACUGCAUUGAAUACUAUCUUGCUUGAGGAUUGGAGGGGAGGCUGGAAUUCUCGGUGUAGCAGUGAAAUGCGUAGAUAUCGAGAGGAACACCAGUGGCGAAGGCGAGUCUCUAGACAACUCCUGACACUGAGGCACGAAAGCUAGGGGAGCAAACAGG